GAACCGCGAUAUGCAAUGCGAUCCGCAGCCUUUGUGAAUCAUCUGAUUCUUGAACGCAUAUGGCACUUGCCGGCAGGUUACUGCUGUCAGGUAUACUUGUUUCAGAAUUUAUUUUUCCCUUAAUACUUUUUUUUUUCUCUUCAAACCAGAAAAAAAUUUGUAUUAGAGAGUGAUAAUCCACCUGGUCACACAGAUGGUGCAUCGAAAUAGAGAGAUGAAGGAUUCAGUCCGUGCAAACGAACUGAAUUGAUAACAUAGAGUGAUACACAAUAUGUUAGCAUCCGCCUUUUCAUCUAUUAAGUUGACAAUUCUAAAUUCUACAACUUAAUCUGAAAUCAAGUAAGAUUACCCGCUGAACUUAA
rnacentral:misc_RNA from 1 species